rnacentral:rRNA from 1 species
AGAGUUUGAUCAUGGNUCAGAAUCAACGCUGGCGGCGUGCCUAACACAUGCAAGUCGAACGCGAAAGUCCCGCAAGGGAUUAGUAGAGUGGCAAACGGGUGAGUAACGCGUGGGCGACCUACCUUCGAGUGGGGGAUAACCUUCCGAAAGGAGGGCUAAUACCGCAUAACAUUCCGUGUUUGGACACACGGGUAUCAAAGCCGGGGAUCGCAAGACCUGGCACUUGGAGAGGGGCCCGCGUCCGAUUAGCUAGUUGGUGGGGUAAUGGCUCACCAAGGCUCCGAUCGGUAUCCGGCCUAAGAGGGCGGACGGACACACUGGGACUGAGACACGGCCCAGANUCCUACGGGAGGCAGCAGUGGGGAAUUGUUCGCAAUGGGCGCAAGCCUGACGACGCAACGCCGCGUGGAGGAUGAAGACCUUCGGGUCGUAAACUCCUUUCGACCGAGAUGAAUUUCCCGCCGGCCUAACAUGGNGGCGGGGUGACAGU